rnacentral:tRNA from 1 species
CCGCCCGUAGCUCAGCUGGAUAGAGCGGUCCCCUCCUAAGGGACAGGCCAGAGGUUCGAAUCCUCUCGGGCGGACCA